rnacentral:rRNA from 1 species
UACGUAGGCAGCAAGCGUUGUUCGGAUUUACUGGGCGUAAAGAGUGCGUAGGCGGUCCUGUAAGUUUGGUGUGAAAUCUCCCGGCUCAACUGGGAGGGUGCGCCGAAGACUGCAGGGCUUGAGUAUGGGAGAGGUAAGCGGAAUUCCUGGUGUAGCGGUGAAAUGCGUAGAUAUCAGGAGGAACACCUGUGGUGUAGACAGCUUACUGGACCAUAACUGACGCUGAGGCACGAAAGCGUGGGUAGCAAACAGG